GGAGGGUACAGCUCAGUGUUAGAGCGCAUGCUUACCACGCACAAGUUCCUGGGUUCAAUCCCCAGAACCUCCA
rfam:Camelus ferus unplaced genomic scaffold scaffold1107, whole genome shotgun sequence.